AAGUAUUCUCAGCCCUUUUAUGUAGCACUAUGAAUUUUAGAAAUUUAUAAACAAAUAAUUUUAUUCCAUAGUUGGUGUCGUAAUUUCGAUGCCGACUGAUUUUAAAUGAAUUAUAGAACGUAAACCACAUGCUGGUAAGUUUUCACAAGAUGUCUUGAACUCACCUUCAAUUAACACAAUUUACAUCCAACACCCUUUCGGCUGGGAAAAUUUGCAUCUGCGGUCUUCAAAAAACCAAUUAAAUUGUCAAACGAAUUAUUCAAUGAACUAUGAUUUGCAUAUCUGGCGUAUAAAUAAACCUUCCCCAUCUGGAGAUGGAAUCAGUUCGCCAUGGAGUAUUUGCGGGUAUUGAAGAAAUAUCGCUUUUUCCACUACUCCGCAACCGACCCGUUAGUAGCCAGCAUGGAUAUUACUGCUGGCAUUGAGACGUUCAACAAAUCAAUGGGAGCAUCGUUUUUUAAGCGCAAACAUUCUUUUAUAAACUUUUUCUUCAUCUUCGGUAUCAGCAACUUGGUGCUGUAUGUAGUGAGCGUGUUGAAAUCGGCAUACGUUUCGCGCCACGAUACGACGAAGCUCAUCUACUGUAUAGCCACUUUCGGGUUUUGCUGUCAGGCCAUUAUGAAAAUUUACAGCUUCAUCAUCACGCGCCAACGUGUAGUUGAUCUCUAUGAGAACAAUCUGCGCUACUACCAAGAAAUGAUGAACCAAAGUAACACCGUCAAGCGUGUUUUGUGUGAUAAUGCCAGCCUCAUUUAUAUCGUCAUCAAAGGGACUGUUUUAAUUUACCUCAUAUUGGUUAUCACUACGAUGACUAUACCGGGGUUUUCUUCAAUAUUUCUGGCAGAUCGUAUACUACCGUUUGGAUUCGUCGUACCUCUCAUCAGUGCUGAUACAUUGGCUGGUUACAUAUGGAAUUACAUCAUUCAGAUCAUAAUGGCUAUGUACUAUUGGAUUAUAACGGUCGGAUCUGAUAUUACUACCAUCUACAAUCUUCUAACUGCCUACGGACAACUGGACGUACUGAUGACAAUUAUAGACGAGCUGGACGAGCAGCUCGAGCGUAAUGAGUGUCCUGAGAAGAUUCGAGCUAAAAUUAUUGAAAUCGUACAUCAGCAUCAACAUCAUCGAUCAUAUUUGCAGCAGUUGGUAGACUUUUUGAAUCCGUAUCACUUUGUUACUCUUGGUUCAACGGUUCCAACGAUGGUUAUUUCUGUUCUUGGAUUGGUUCUGGUGAGUGGUAUUAUUUUGGAUGGUAUAAAAUAAUUGCUGUAAAAUGGGUUUUUGCUUGGGUCCUUUUUCUAGCUGGAUUGGUAUCCUGGGGCCGCAAUCGUGUUUCUUGGAUCUGUUCAAAUAUUUUACAUUUGUUUUCUCGGUACUAGUCUGGAAAUUAAGGUCCGAGUGAGGCUUAUUACCGUUUUGGAAGAUUUUAUUUUUUCAUCGUUUAUUCUUUUACAGACCGAUGCUCUGACACUAAAGGUCGGUGCUAUUCAUUGGAACAAACUUUCCACUCGAGAUAUGAAGUACAUGAACUUGGUGUUAGCGAUGACACAAAAACCGAAAAUGCUGGCGGUGGCCACAUUACCAUUAAACAUAACUGCAUUUCUAAAAAUACAUAAAUUGAUCUAUUCUUUGAUCAUGAUGCUGGAAAAUACGAAGGAUUGAAAACUUGACAGAUGAUUGCUGUUAUUUUAUAUAUUAUUUCACUUUCAGAUUUAAAAUAAUGUCAUAUGAAUUCAUAAAAAGUCAACAAAAGAUAAUGUGAACUUUAAAGAGCUUUAUUGAUAAAAGAUUGUUAUACAGCUGCUUUUAUAAAUGUUAGAACAGUUAAUGUUAUUUGUUUUUUUAAUAAAAAAAGUUUAUUUUACUGAGCAGCUUCUAGUGCGGUAUGACAUGCGCAAAAUAAAAGUAGUUGAAUAUUUGGUUUAAUUAAACAGUCCAGAAUUUAUAAAUUA